rnacentral:rRNA from 1 species
CAGGGGUAGAGAGAAUUUCCCAGGGUAGCGGUGAAAUUGCGUAGAGAUUGAGAAGAACACAGGUGGCGAGAGCGCUCUAGUGGAGUGGCACCUGACCCUCAGAGGACGAAAGCUAAGGUAGCGAAAGGGAUGAGAUACCCCUGUAGUAUUAGCCGUAAACGAUAGAUACUAGGCGUGGUUUGUAUCGACGCAAGCCGUGCCGAAGCUAACGCGUUAAGUAUCCCGCCUGGGGGAGUACGCACGCAAGUGUGAAACUCAAAGGAAUUGACGGGGGCCCGCACAAGCGGUGGAGGAUGUGGUUUAACUCGAUGCAACGCGAAGAACCUUACCAGGGCUUGACAUCCCGCGAAUCUUGCUGAAAGGUGAGAGUGCCUUCGGGAGCGUGGAGACAGGUGGUGCAUGGCUGUCGUCAGCUUGUGUCGUGAGAUGUUGGGUUAAGUCCCGCAACGAGCGCAACCCUCGUCCUUAGUUGCCAGCAUUAAGUUGGGCACUUUAGGGAGACUGCCGGUGACAAACCGGAGAAAGGGGAGGAUGACGUCAAGUCAGCAUGCCCCUUAUGCUCUGGGCGACACACGUCCUACAAUGGUCGGGACAAAGGGGAGCAAGCUCGCGAGAGUAAGCGAAUCCCAGCAAACUCGGCCUCAGUUCAGAUUGCAGGCUGCAACUCGCCUGCAUGAAGGAGGAAUCGAUAGUAAUCGCAGGUCAGCAUACUGCGGUGAAUUCGUUCCCGGGCCUUGUACACACCGCCCGUCACACCAUGGAAGCUGGCCAAGCCCGAAGUCGUUACCCUAACCGUUUGGAGGGGGGCGCCGAAGGCUGGGCUAGUGACUGGGGUGAAGUCGUAACAA